GGAAUGGUACAAGCAGAUGCCUAUCAUCACCCGCUCGUAUCUUACAGCAGCUAUUGUCACCACCAUCCGUUGUUCCCUCGAGGUAUGUUUCCUCUACCCCUUUAAUCCUUUAUGAUGGGCUUCUUUUAUAUUUUUUAAAUAUUAAUUGGAAUUGAAUAUUUGUUUGGACAAAAGGGUUAAAAAGUUUUUGCAUUGAUUGCUUAAUGGUUGAUAUUUUGUUUUUAGACAAAUGGAUAUUAUUGUUUUUAGUUGAUUUCUAAUUGUUUGUUUAAUUUUGCGAAGUGGAGACAUUCCCUUGUCAGUUUUGUGUUAAUUGUUGUGUGCUUUUCGGUAUAUUGCUCAAAUUUUAAUGCUAUAAAUCAAAAUUUUGGUUUUUAAAGCCGUAUUAAUUGUUUAUUUGGUAUAUCUUAUUAAGGACUAGGGCUACUGAGUUUUUGCUAUCGGGGUCAUUGGUAUCACAGGCAUCUUUCCCGCACUGUAUUAACCUUAGAGUUCAGUUCAAGGUAAACCUUCCUUAUCGUGGUUAGAGGAUUUUUAAGGAAGAAGAAAUACCAUUCUUGUGGUUUAGCAUUAGGAGUAGAACCAUUAUCAACAACACAUAGAGUAAAUUCACGUCAAUCAGGCUAUACCUUGGGGUUGAGGCUAGUGAACUUGAAUAGUAAAUUCUUUUUUUUUUUCUGGGAUUAUUUUUUUUUAUCUUGGGGCAUAUUUGCAUUAGCUUUGAAGUAUCAAUUGGAUUCUGUUUAUUUAUUCCUUUUGUAAUUUUGAUAUCUGAAUGUAUAACUGGAUGAUUUAAAAGCUUUAGCAACUAGUUCUUUUUCUCAUUUUCGUUUUUGGCAGAUAACAUCUCCUCAUAAUUUGUAAUUGCAUCCUGCACUUGUUGUUAAGCAUAUAGUCAAUUCUGGCAUCUCAUCACCAAUUUCCUGUAGUUCCGGAAAAUGGGUAUGUUUUAAACCUUGUGUUUUAAAUGAUAUAUGAUUGCAUUGUCGUGAUAGGGAUGAGUAUAAUUGUGCUAGGAUAGGGAAAUUUGUGGAAGAGAGCUGCUUUCUUUGAUGUAUUUCUUCGAUAUUUUUAGUUUCAAAGGUAGAAAAGUUUGAUAAGAGAGUAUUUCAUAUUCACAUUUAACAUACUUAUAUAGUGAUUAAUAUGCUAAUUAUUUAACAUGCUUCUGUGUGCAUCUCUACUCUUUAUAAUUUUGUGUCAGAUAGUUUCAUAGAAUCUUACAUAUUCAGGUGCUUGAAAUCAAACUGCAAAUAAUAUCUAAAAGGGUAAUUGAAUGCCCAUCUAUAGCAAGUUGCAUUGGCAUGGUGAUUCUUUGAAAACUGUGUUUGUGAUGAUGCCAAUUCAUGUUAAAAGUAGUAGUAUGAUUUAUUCAAACAUAGCUGUAGAUACCAAAUUUUGUCCUAGUAUUUUCUAAAAAAUUUUCAAAAAAUUGUUAACUCUAAUCUUAUUUCUAAUUUAAUUUUAAUUCAAUUUUGACUUUAAGGGAAUAGUGAUUUAUUUCUAUAAAAUAACUAGGAGCAAGAAGCUUUA
rnacentral:misc_RNA from 1 species